GGGGGUGUCUUGGAUUCGACGAUAAAUCGUAGGGUAUGGUAGCAUGUCAGGGAUGAUGGUUGGCCCUGUCAACAUCCAUCACAAAAGUUAAAUGGCAUUAGAAACAGAAGAAACAGAAAAGUCAUGAAACUCAGCUUUGGUAACAAAGCUAAACUUGCUGCUUAGUUAAAAGUGGCACGCGAUAUCUUCCAAUACUCGCUGAGAGGAUAUCGUGCCUAUUAAAGCGAGUAGUCUGCCCGUGAGCAUACACAUAGGCAUGACUUACAGAGUAUGCUCACCGUCAAAGGGUUGUUGUGGGCAAUUUUGACGGUUAAAAUAAGAUCACAACUAAACAUGUAGAAGCUCUAUCUGAACAUUUGUUGGACGCGGGUUCGAUUCCCGCCACCUCCACCA
rnacentral:tmRNA from 1 species